CCCAGCCGUCUUCUAUUACAGGGCAGGAUGCUAGGAAGAGGAAAGCAGGGAUGCAGAGCCAGGGAAGAGUGAAGUCAGGGAUUAGCCCUGUGCUCACACUGGGUUCUAUGGAGACAGAGACACGGGGGGAGUCCACGAGGCACUGAAACAGCUGGGUCUGUGCGAUGCACUGUGCUUCACAGUUUAUGGGAGGAUGAGCCAGGAAAGGCUAGGGCUAAGGGCGUGUGUCCCUAAAUAAGUUACAGAAUCAAAUAGCCCUGACACGCAUUCAGCACCCAGGCUUCCCGCAGCUUGGGAGAGACAGUGCUUCUGUCUUGUCUUAACUGAUCCUCUGAUACUAUAGAUUUCUGCACAGAUCUAUGUACUGGAUCCAAUGCUCAUAUGGCCCAGGAAUGAUGCUACAUCAUAUAAUCCUAACACAUAGGAAGCGAGGGUAGGAGGAUUAUGAGUUCAAGGUCAUCUUUGGAUAUACAGUGAGUUUGAGGUUAGCCAAGGGACUCAGAAAACCAUCCCAAACAAAACGAACAAGAACAAACAAAGAAACAAACAAAACUGACUCCCCAGGGACUUUCAGGAAGAAUUCUUCCAUCUCUCCAGGCGUUUCUUGCUUAUCAGAACAAUUUUGGCAUUUUGUUGAAGGGGGUCACAAAACCUUCUCAACUAGAAGUCUACCAUCUGCCCAUCCAUUCACAUUUUUUUUUUCAAAACUGUUUUUUAAAUUUUUCAUGACAGAGUGUGGCAGCUUCUGGCACAGGAGAGACAUUCAAACCAGCAACUCUGACUCUCUCUCCUGAUUUGCGUCUUGGGAAAUUCCAAGAUACCUGCAGGACUAUUAUCCCUACCAUGGAAGCUGUUCAUUUGGAUGGAGUCAUAUGUUCAUCUGUGGUUUGUUAUUAUAGAUACUGACUUCUGUCUAAUUCCUUUGAAAUGUCUUCUAGGAAAGAACAUCCCUUGCCCACACCCUGGUCCAGGUCAAGAUCCAAGAUCCCCCAACUUUGGGCCUAUAUUCUCUCCUGCCAUCUGCAUGGCCUCAUUGUAAGCCACUGUGAGAUGUGACUUCCUUAUGUGUGGCAUGAGUGGCCCACAUCUCGGGGAGCCCCCGUAGCAGUUGAAGAUGUGAGCUCCCAGCAACCUGUUCCAGCCAACUGCCGCACCUAUUGCUGUCUGUCUUGCUGUCCUAGUCACCACAGACUCUGGAACCAUAAGCCAAAAUAAACGAUGUCUUCACUCA